rnacentral:rRNA from 1 species
CACGUAGGGCGCAAGCGUUGUCCGGAAUUAUUGGGCGUAAAGCGCACGUAGGCGGCUUUGCAAGUCGGAUGUGAAAUCCCUCGGCUCAACCAAGGAAGUGCAUCCGAAACUGCAGAGCUUGAGUACCAAAGAGGAUCGCGGAAUUCCCGGUGUAGAGGUGAAAUUCGUAGAUAUCGGGAGGAACACCGGUGGCGAAGGCGGCGACCUGGGUAGAUACUGACGCUGAGGCGCGAAAGCGUGGGGAGCAAACAGG